rnacentral:rRNA from 1 species
CCUACGGGGGGCUGCAGUGAGGAAUAUUGGUCAAUGGGAGAGAUCCUGAACCAGCCAAGCCGCGUGAGGGAAGACGGCCCUAUGGGUUGUAAACCUCUUUUGUCGGAGAACAAAACCCGGGACGUGUCCCGGACUGCGUGUAUCCGAAGAAAAAGCAUCGGCUAACUACGUGCCAGCAGCCGCGGGAAUACGUAGGUGGCAAGCGUUGUCCGGAAUUACUGGGUGUAAAGGGAGCGCAGGCGGGAAGCCAAGUCAGCUGUGAAAACUACGGGCUUAACUUGUAGACUGCAGUUGAAACUGGUUUUCUUGAGUGAAGUAGAGGUUGGCGGAAUUCCGAGUGUAGCGGUGAAAUGCGUAGAUAUUCGGAGGAACACCGGUGGCGAAGGCGGCCAACUGGGCUUUAACUGACGCUGAGGCUCGAAAGUGUGGGGAGCAAACAGGAUUAGAAACCCCGGUAGUC